AUGGAGGGGUUUAGUUUCUCAGACUGGGCUUGGAAGUAUGCAAGCAAGAAUAUGCUGAACAACUGGAUUGCUCAAGCCUUACCGGUCAAGCUGCACGGGGGGAAGGGCUUUAAAUCACAAAGUAAUCGGUUAGGUAAGGAUGGCUCUAAAUGUGAUUGGGGGUAUCAGUGGGGGAAGAAAUUCUUGUUGAUUUUUGGAAAAGAAAAAAAAAAAGGAGGGGGGGGGAAGUCUGCUAGAUCCACUGGGUUAGUGACACUGCUGGCUGCUUUUGGAGUAAAUAUUUACCCUAUAGAGAUUGUAACGUUACAUAAUGAAAAUUGGAGAAGUUCUAAUGUUUGUUAAUCAAACUGCCCAAGCCCACUGAUCUCAGAUUUAUUUCUAAUCAGUUUUUUGAACUGAGAAGAAAACCAUUCAUUGGGGUAUUACUUGCAAACUGUUACGAGAUUCUUAUCUUACAGAAAGGUUUAAAUGUGACUCUUCAGUGAUCCAUCUCUGUCCUUUAUCACCACUUACUGAAGGCUGCCUAUGAAGUACCAGAGCUGUGCUAGCAGGUGAUCCAGCAGAAAGAUGAGGCUUCCUGCCCCGCAGAGCCCGCGGCUACUUUCAGCACGCUUCCAGGUUGAAAUGUUGGUGUGUGAUCUGACAGCGCAAGGGGGAUCUUACGGCCACAAGCAACUAUUUUGCUGCCAAACAAACAAAAAGGAAAUGAUUAAUACCAUAAAACGUGGCUGCAGCAAAACCCAAAGAGCUUUCCACAACACUGACUUUGAAAUACCUGGUUUUAUUAAACUGCCUGCGCAAAUCCUCUUGCGACUUGCCGGCGUGCUUGAUCCUGUUUGUACGGCCCGGUACCACGCUGACCACAGAAGGUCUUGGUUACAAAACAGGCUUUAAGGGACAAAUCUUGAUGAGUCCCAGAUACCGGCCUUGGCCGGCAGUUGGGGAGGUGAUAGAAUCCUCUUUACUAUUCAGCACCGUGCAUUAGUGUUAAACCUGCCCUUUUGGAAGGGAUUUGCACGGGAUGGCUGCGUAGAGGGACGAGCGUGUCCUGUGCCCUGAGCGCUCCCCACAGCAGGUGGGUUCCCUCUGCAAAGGCACGCUGCUCCUGGUGGCACCUGGUGUCCUGUUCCACGCAUCCUCCGUUGCUUGUCGGUGCCCAGAGCAGGUAGUGAAAGGACGGGUUUUGUGAGUGCUGGUGCUGUACAGAAGGGGCGAGGUUGGCAGAUUCUGUGCUCACUGCCCCUCUUGACAGCCUGGCUGGCAGCACGAGCGACCCCGCCGUGAGAAGCACUGUUGCAUAGGAAGGAAGAAGAUCACACUCAUGUUCCUCUCUCAGCUUCAGCGUGCAUUAAGAAAUGUGAUCAAAAACCUCUGCAGAGCAAAAGAAAAGCAGUAGGACAGCAGAAAUGUCUGCCUUUGUGAGUUUUUGCAGUUUCUGAGUCCAUAACGGGGUCUCCUUUGUGUGUGUGCCAAGGAGGCGGCAGUCGUCACCGCCUGGCACUUACUGUCUGAAGUUUUCUGCCUUAAAGCAAAGCCCAGAAAACUGCUCACCUGUUUUUAUCUUUGCUGAAAGCCAGGGCUCAGUACAUGAGAGGGGCUGUCUGGGUGUUAAUUUGAUGCUCAGCUGAUUGCAGGGUUUACCUCCCUGGAGGGGGAUUAAUAACGAUAGCUCUCUUCUCCCGAUGUAAGCAAGAGGAAUUUUGGAGCCUUUUCACCUAAUACGCGAGCCCGCUUUCUCAGCAUCACCACCUGCAGGACCUGGGCAUCGUGCUGCGUGGACUGCAGGCUCUCGGUUGUGGCCUGGUGCCGGUGACCCUCCUGCGGCUCGGGACGUGCUGCCCGUUGUGUGACGGGGCAGCAGGCUCCGAGUUGGUCUAACGUGGGACAGCCAGAAAGUCUGGACAAAUGGUAACUUUGAUCAGGUGAAGGGGAUCUGUUUAUCUCUCGCAAAGUGCCCUUCGUACAGCGAUUACAUGUAGAGCACGGCAUGCCUGUGUUUGCAAAGGCAGGGGACGGGGCAGGCUGGAGUAACUCAGCCCUAAAACAGGAGAGGCAGCUACAGGCUGCCUGGGUGAUGUAAUUCCCCUUGUGCAAGCCCCAAACUGGGUCAGGUCUGUGUGAGAAACGAGGGCAGUCUCCAGGCUGUGUAAUACCUGCCUGGUGUGCCCUGCUGCCGCCGGGCAGGGUGCGAGCCUCUGCAGACAUGGAGCUCCCGUGGUGGAUGGAUGGAGGGUGGCUGCAGAGCUGCCAGAGCCGAGGAUGAGGAUGGGAGGAGGACAGGCAGACAGUUACAUGGCAGGGAAUUAAGCAUCUCUGCACCUGCCAGGCUUCUGGAGCCCUUAUGACUCCUCGAAUGCCUCUGUUUCACUCUUCUGCAUAUGGCUAGGGCUGCUGAAAAGGUUUCAAAAUUUAGGUUUUAAAAAACACAUACUUACUGCUUAGAAGAAAAAUAAAUCUCAUAUUAGAGCACUUCUGUACUGGAUA
rnacentral:lncRNA from 1 species